UACGGAGGGGGCUAGCGUUGUUCGGAAUCACUGGGCGUAAAGCGCACGUAGGCGGCUUGUUAAGUCAGGGGUGAAAUCCUGGAGCUCAACUCCAGAACUGCACUUGAUACUGGCAAGCUGGAGUGUAGGAGAGGUUGGUGGAACUGCGAGUGUAGAGGUGAAAUUCGUAGAUAUCCGCAAGAACACCAGUGGCGAAGGCGGCCACCUGGCCUAUUACUGACGCUGAGGUGCGAAAGCGUGGGGAGCAAACAGG
rnacentral:rRNA from 1 species